GAUCCUGGCUCAGGAUAAACGCUGGCGGCGUGCUUAACACAUGCAAGUCGAACGGAGUGGUCCUCCCGAAGCGAGACGGUGCUUGCACCUGAUCAAUUCAUUUGGAUCACUUAGUGGCGGACGGGUGAGUAACGCGUGGGUAACCUGCCCUAUACUGGGGGAUAGCAGUUGGAAACGACUGAUAAUACCGCAUAAGCGCACGGUAUCGCAUGAUACAGUGUGAAAAACUCCGGUGGUAUAGGAUGGUCCCGCGUCUGAUUAGCUAGUUGGUGAGGUAACGGCCCACCAAGGCGACGAUCAGUAGCCGGCCUGAGAGGGUGUACGGCCACAUUGGGACUGAGACACGGCCCAAACUCCUACGGGAGGCAGCAGUGGGGAAUAUUGGACAAUGGGGGCAACCCUGAUCCAGCGACGCCGCGUGAGUGAUGAAGUAUCUCGGUAUGUAAAGCUCUAUCAGCAGGAAGAUAUGACGUACCUGACUAAGAGACCGGCUAAAUACGUGCAGCAGCCGCGGGUAAUACGUAUGGUGCAGCGUAUCCCGAUUUCCUGGUUGUAAAGGUGCGUAGUGGCAGUAGUCGAUGUGAACUAUGGCUCCCCCUCAACUGCUUGACUGCAGCUAUGCGGAAGAAGGAUUCUAUGACCGAUCUAAUAAGAAAUGAGCUCGAUACUGCAUGAGAUCGCCUGACGAGCCCUUAAGCAUCGAGGAGACUAGUCUAUGACU
rnacentral:rRNA from 1 species